AUCAAAAGAGAACUAAACCUUUCAGGAACGUAGCAACUUGGAAGAAAAUCUGGCAUGCCUGAGGUCUGGGGAACAAGGGUUGCUUGUUGCCUUUUCCUGCCUUUGGUAGCCUACAUGU